ACUUAAAUAGCUUAAUUAGAGCAUGAUAUUGAAGCUGUCAAGGUAAUAUAUAUAUAUAUUUUUAAG
rnacentral:tRNA from 1 species